UGGGGAAUAUUGGACAAUGGGCGCAAGCCUGAUCCAGCCAUGCCGCGUGAGUGAUGAAGGCCUUAGGGUUGUAAAGCUCUUUCGCCGACGAAGAUAAUGACGGUAGUCGGAGAAGAAGCCCCGGCUAACUUCGUGCCAGCAGCCGCGGUAAUACGAAGGGGGCUAGCGUUGUUCGGAAUCACUGGGCGUAAAGCGCACGUAGGCGGAUUGUUAAGUCAGGGGUGAAAGCCUGGAGCUCAACUCCAGAACUGCCCUUGAUACUGGCAAUCUCGAGUCCGGAAGAGGUAAGUGGAACUGCGAGUGUAGAGGUGAAAUUCGUAGAUAUUCGCAAGAACACCAGUGGCGAAGGCGGCUUACUGGCCCGGUACUGACGCUGAGGUGCGAAAGCGUGGGGAGCAAAACAGGAUUAGAUACCCUGGUAGUCCACGCCGUAAACGAUGGAGGCUAGCCGUUGGCGAGCAUGCUCGUCAGUGGCGCAGCUAACGCAUUAAGCCUCCCGCCUGGGGAGUACGGUCGCAAGAUUAAAAACUC
rnacentral:rRNA from 1 species